GCAGCGCUGUAUUUCCGAAUUCCCGAGGAAGACAAGGAAGAUAUUUAUGCCACUAAGGUGGUGGCACGUAUUAUCUAUUAAAUUACAUGUUCACAUAGAAAUGGAUGUUCAAAUGGAAAUGAUACAACCGAACAAAUGAGGAUUUUUUUGUGACAAAUCGAACGUUACAUAUGUUGUAUAUCCAUGGCACGGCGUAUAAAUGGAAAUUGGCGUUGUAUGAUUCAUGAACCACGAUGUAUGCCAAGGCAGUGACUUUGACGCAAAAAUGACGAACUUAUACUCGUAGUCACUGCUAAAGCUUACAAUUAUUCAAGUUCAUAAUGGUUUGGUUAUAUGAGAUGUUGUCCUUUCAUAUGCGAAACUGGUCAAAGAGUUUAUAGAGGUUCUUAAACAGAGCCAAGAUGGCGAUCAUUAUUAAAAGUUCCCAAAAUGAUCCUACAUCGUUGCUUUGUGACAGUGAAGAGACGAGCUGGACAAAUAUUGCAAGAAAGAUAUCAAAGCAGACGAUCAAACGAAAAACGAAAUGCAAACGGGAAUAAAGACCUGAGGUCAAGAAAAAGCAGCCAUUUUGACACAGAGAGAGACGACAUGGACGCCAUUAGCGCAGAGAUGAUGAAUCUCGCCAAGGAACUUGAAACUACGACGAAAAACGAAACGACUUUGUAAAUAUGAUAUCAAACCUCUUCACCAAAUUUCUCACCAAAGUUUAUAUCGACAUUUGGGACAUUAGAGACAUGUUGUCUUGAAAAAGCGAAACUAGUUUAUAAAUGGUAUCAUCACGUAUCUAAAUUUGUCUGUCAUCUAAUUUUUAUCGAAUUUCAUCAAAAUUUUAUCGAGUUCCCUUGUUCUGUUGUGAACUUUUUGACGGUUCUUUCAUUUCCCAACAAAUACAAUCCAAACCUGUUCAGUUUCGCUGACAGGCCGGGCAGCUAUUUUGUCAACAAAUAAAUUCAACUUUCAUAUAUUAAUUAUCAUUAUGAAUAAACUUUU